UUCCUCAUAUGUGGGCGCUGUGCUGUUAAAGUGUGGGAGGAAACUGAUCACACGCUUUACUACAUCAGACACGUACAUGCAAUAUGAGCUCAGUUUAAAACAGACAUUCAGACGUUCAACAUGAUCCGAGCUGCCAGUAUUCUAUGGGUUUUAAUGAUAUGUCACAGAGGGCUUUCUCAGAGUAAUCUGGUCUUCCAGACUCCUCCUGAUCUCUUUGGCAACCAUACACAAUCUGUUAAAAUCCAGUGUGAACACAGUGUACCAAAUUAUAAUCAAAUCAACUGGUACAGAGAAACUCAAGACCAGGGACUGACCUUAAUUGGAUAUCAAUUAAGAACGUCAUCACCACAGAUUGAAAAUGAUUUUAAGCUGAAAGUGGAGAUCGCUGGGGAUGGAAACAAAAAUGUCUCUUUGACCAUCAAAAAUCUUUCAUCCAAUGACAGUGUGGUGUACUUCUGUGCUGCGUAUUACACAGUGCUGCAUCUCUGCUUUAUUCAGUACAAAAACCCUCUGUGUAAAUAUUCUCAUCACUUCAUUAACACCUGCUCCCGUGGCCUGGAAUUGACACAUUGCCAGAGUUUUUCAGAAAAGUCACACGAUUACAGGCAGUUAAAUCACUUAUAA